rnacentral:rRNA from 1 species
AAAGAUUAAGCCAUGCAUGUCUAAGUAUAAGCAAUUAUACAGCGAAACUGCGAAUGGCUCAUUAUAUAAGUUAUCGUUUAUUUGAUAGUACCUUACUACUUGGAUAACCGUGGUAAUUCUAGAGCUAAUACAUGCUGAAAAUCCCGACUCCGGAAGGGAUGUAUUUAUUAGAUUCAAAGCCAAUGCCCUCCGGGCUCACUGGUGAUUCAUGAUAACUCCUCGAAUCGCACAGCCUUGCGCCGGCGAUGGUUCAUUCAAAUUUCUUCCCUAUCAACUUUCGACGUUUGGGUAGUGGCCAAACAUGGUUG